GUCAGUGUGGCAUAGUGGUUUGAGUGUUGGACUCUGAAUCUGGGGACCAGGGUUAGAUUCCCUGCUUGGCUA
rnacentral:tRNA from 1 species